AUGGAUUCUGUGUGUCUUUGUGGGGGUCUGUGUGUGUCUUGGCGGGGUGUGUGUCUGUGUAGGAGGAAUGGUUGGGCCUCGAGGGAAGUCAGGACACACCACUGGGUUUAGAGUGGAUAACCACCAGGAACCUAUCGUAUAGCUCACGGAGCUCUGCUCAAUGGUAUGUGUCAGCCUGGAUUGGAGGGCUGAUCUGGGAGAAUGGCUAUGUGGGUUAUCUAUACUGAAUCCCUUCGCUGUUGAACUGAAACUAUGGCAACACGGUUAAGUGGCUAUAUCCCAACACAAUCUUAAACAAACCAAUCUUUGUAGCAGAGAACUUGUCAAGAAUAAGGAGAUCCUCCAGGUAACCCAACACGAAGGAAAUCGGAAAUGAGAGUGGAUAAAUGCACAGAUUUCACUUACUGAUCAUGUGGUAGAGCCAGAAAAUGAUAGGACCUUAUAAAGCAAAUCUACACCAAUCAAAAGGAAUUAAAUGAAAUAAAGAAAGACUCGUGGAAAGUCUACUGCUGUCCUCCCUGCUUUAAUAUCCUGGGUUCAGUUCAGGCCUCAAUGGUCUCAAGUCACUUAUUCAAAAAGAAGAACAUGGCACCGUGUUGUCCACGGUACAAAACAUGACUAUUCUCAGAGUUCCUUUAUUCUGUGUAGAACAUCACCUUUGUGUGUGUCUGUGUGUGUGUGUGCGCCUGGCUGCACAGGGGGUGCCCGUUUCUUUCCACGUGGAGGAUUGCAUGCAGGCGCGGGCAUCUGUGCAUACUGGCGGGAGUCUCUGCACGCCUGCACAUCUGGGUGUGCAUCUGUGCUGUGAGGCGAGUGUGCGGGGCCACGCUCAUGUGUCACGUGGUGCUUCCAAGGCGCGCCUUUGCGUGUGCCCACGUGUGCGUGCUCCUGCGUGCAGUCUCGCCUCCAGCCCCAUCCAAGAAUGGACGCGUGCGUCCACACCUCCAGGUGCCUAGUCCUUCCCUCCUGGGGUGUGGGGACCCUGCCUCUCUCUUUGGUAGCUUGAAGGGCCCCCCGUCCCGUGGGUAGGCCUGCGCCUAGGUGGACAGUGAGGCACAGGAAGUCUGAGCAAGAUGACUUUCUUUCCUACUUAGGAAGCACCUGCAAGGACUGAGCUCAAGGCUGCUUCACCGGGCAGCAUCUUUACAGGGAGGAGGGGGAGAAAAGGAAGGAGAGAAACCCCAGGGGAGCAGGAGCAGAGACAGAGAGCGAGGAGCAGGUGGACAGAAAGGGAACCAGCUGGGAAAAGACCGGCUCUGAGUAACAUGUCUCCAAACUGACCAGCUGAAAAGUUAAAAAUUAUACCGACUUUUAGGUCACACGUGUUGCGUAUAACAUCUAUCCAAUGAAUUCACUGGUCCAUUUUCAACCAAAACACUGUAAUGUCUCCAUAUCUGACUCCUUACACCUUACCCCCAGCCCAGUCCUGCGUUUUAGCUCAGCUCCCCAUUAAUAACUUCCCCCCCAAAUGCUGAGAAAAUCCCACCUGGAGCAAACUGGUUGGCUCUGCUUCAAGCGUCUUCUUGUGACCUAGCGUAAGACAAGGAUCCCUGGCCUUUAAAGCGGAAACACAUUGGCCCAAGUCACGUCCCUGACCUGACAUCCUGUGGCAAGCCAGUGCUCCCCCCAAGUUUUCUGAGCUCUCCUAGGGCAGCAGGGUCUUGCCAUCACUUCCGGGUCAGAGUUCCUCUUCCUGUUGACCUCUCCGUCUCUCACACCUCCUCCCUACAGCUGCCCUGGCCCAGCCGCAGGCGUCCGCUCUGCUUUUCUCAUUCUCCCCAGUCACCGGAUGAAGCGUCACGUGUAGCAGCCGUGACUCCCUCUGUCCAGCGCUGUGGAGGGUACUGCUCUGCAAAGCAAACCUCGAGGGGACCUUCCAACAUUCUUCUUCUUAAAGAAGGCACCCUUCUCCACGGCCACAUGCUCCGCAGGCUAUGUAGCCCAGACGACUAUUUUUCUCGCCCCUCCCAUUGUCCGGGAGGUGGGUAAGCUGAAGGGUUUCUGGGAUUCCUCCCAGCACUGAAAGUCUAUCGGGCUUAGUCCUAGAUAAUCCUUUACUUGUUGGCUCUGGAAGGGUGCAGUCCAGAAACUGACAGUAACAAACUGUGGUUUGAGGACACCCCGUUUCUCUCUGCACAGUCCCUUGCAUAUUCCCCGUCCACCUCUUCCCUCCUGCAGACACCCUUCCUGAUGCAUUUUACGUGCCUCCUUCUGUCUGCAUGUCUUUGUAAAGUGAUAUUGCUCUUUUAUAUACGCACAUUUUCAGGGUGCUUAAAUGGGGUUGCCGUCCCAGCCCUGGAUUUUGCAAUCCGUCCACAUUGCUGUGGGCGCAUCUGCUGUGUUGCUUCUAACUGCUCUCAGCCUCGCGGUGGCCAUGCUCUCCUUCUGUCUAUCCAGUUGCCCUGCGGAAACUAGCAUUUGGAACAUCUGUCAUUUGCCAGACAUUGGCCAAGGAAGUCUCAGACUUGAAUUAUCAGACUUUAUCCUCACAGCAACCUCUGCAGGCAGCUCUGUUAAGGAAACUGAGGCAGAGGUUAAGCAACAUUCCCAAGAUAGCUGAGCUAGAAAGUGCAGAAUAGAAAUUUGAAUCUAGGCUGUCUGAGUACAGGGUCCUCUCCUUUAAUCAAAACAGUCUGCUCUGGGCCAAAUCCAACAGUCUAGAACUGGUUGUGCCUAGGACCAAGAACCACAGUAAUAAUAAUAGUUUCCACCCGGUGCAUACCUACUGUGUGCCAGGGCCUUCGAGUCACGCAGAGCUGCCACGUAAAGCUGCGCAGGUCAUGUGCUGUGCAGCUUCAGCGAGCACCACCCGCGUCGAGUACAAUGUGAACGGCAUCCCCUUGUGCAAUGGGAUGGCGACCAUCGCCAAGACUGAAAUUUUUACUCCAUUUUUACAGUCGAGAAAAGUGAGUCUCAGAGGUUAUGUGAUCUUCCAGAAGCACAAGCCAAAGAAAGGCAGAGUGCGGCUCCGGGUCUAUCUGCGCUCCGAGUCUGAUUCCCUGAGGCCACUGGACAACUCGCCGGCCUAUGGGUGCCAUGCUACACAGUCACUUUUGGCCAAACUCUCAAGCUGAGUGUGUCUUCAGUUGCCCUGAGGACUGUUACCCAAGUUGAAAUGAUGAUAGACAAGGUAUGUCUCCAGGGAGCAGGCGCUGGGUGUGGUGUGGCUGCCACACAGACACCAGGUGGAGGGGAAGUGGCUCAGUUGUGUCCGACUCUUCGAAUCCACGGACUAGCCCUCCCACCAGGCUCCUCCGUCCAUGGGUGUAUUAAUGCAUAUAUAUGUAAAUGAAA
ensembl:lincRNA